rnacentral:tRNA from 1 species
AUGUCCUAAGUGUUACGGUAGCACGGUGGUCUCCAAAACCACAAGCGAGGGUUCAACUCCUUCAGGACAUGC